rnacentral:rRNA from 1 species
UCAGUAACACGUAGUCAACAUGCCCAAAGGACGUGGAUAACCUCGGGAAACUGAGGAUAAACCGCGAUAGGCCAAGGUUUCUGGAAUGAGCCAUGGCCGAAAUCUAUAUGGCCUUUGGAUUGGACUGCGGCCGAUCAGGCUGUUGGUGAGGUAAAUGGCCCACCAAACCUGUAACCGGUACGGGCUUUGAGAGAAGUAGCCCGGAGAUGGGCACUGAGACAAGGGCCCAGGCCCUAUGGGGCGCAGCAGGCGCGAAACCUCUGCAAUAGGCGAAAGCUUGACAGGGUUACUCUGAGUGAUGCCGCUAAGGGUAUCUUUUGGCACCUCUAAAAAUGGUGCAGAAUAAGGGAUGGGCAAAGUCUGGUGCCAGCC